rnacentral:rRNA from 1 species
UACGGGGGGGGCAAGCGUUAUCCGGAGUUACUGGGCGUAAAGGGCGUGCAGGUGGUCUGUUAAGUCUGGCGUGAAAGCUCCUGGCUAAACCGGGAGAGGUCGUUGGAUACUGGCGGACUAGAGGACGGUAGAGGCGUGUGGAAUUCCGGGUGUAGUGGUGAAAUGCGUAGAGAUCCGGAGGAACACCAGUGGCGAAGGCGACACGCUGGGCCGUACCUGACACUGAUACGCGACAGCAUGGGGAGCGAACGGG